GGAGGGACAAAGCAACUUGGCAUCUCGACCAACAGAGAAAGUCUCUUUCUCCUGAUUGUCAAGAUCAUUUCACCUGGUGGCGAUGAAGUCAUCAUAAUUUGAGUGGCAUAAAUGUCAUUCACUAUCUUGGUAUAAGCCUAGGAAGAAUGGGUCAGCCCAUCCCAUGAUACUGGGAGUUGAACCUCAUUUAUCACAAUCGCUUUCAGAGGAGGCCCACCUCUUUCAACUUCCUUUUCCAGCUGACACCAAACCUUUCUGAAGAGGUUUCUCUCUUCUAGAUUUGUGGAUGCUGUUCUCUUUACCUGCCUUACUGCUUAUGAAUUUCUAGUCACAACUUGACGUUUAGCCUGGGAAACAGAUUCAUGUGCCAUCAGUGCAAUCAAGAUAUGGAACUAUUUAAUCAUCACAAAGACCUCCUUCGUGCUACACCUAAUUUGUUCCAUCUUUAUUAUAUUGCCAUUUCAGCAAUGUCAUACAGAUAUGACAGUGAGUCUGGAAAACUGGCCUGAAUGAAAGGAGAAUGCAAGCCGUUGGAAUGAUCGAACACCUUGGGCUCAAAGGUGCCUCUCUUGCUCUGCCCAUGUCUGCUCCCCCCCAUCUCUGGAGGAUGCUGCAGUAUCAGGCUCAAGCACAGGAGAGAAGUUUAGUAUCCUCAGGGAACAAUACAAGCUGUGGACCUGUCACUUCUGUUUCUAGCUGCUUCUUCAAUAUGAGAUACAUGGAAAACAGAAGAACUAAACAUAGAUCUACCAUUCUAUCCAGCAAUCUACUGGGUAUCUACCCAAAGUAAAAGAAAU